rnacentral:tRNA from 1 species
GGAGCAGUAGUUCAGUUGGUUAGAAUACCGGCCUGUCACGCCGGGGGUCGCGGGUUCGAGUCCCGUCCGCUCCGCCA